rnacentral:rRNA from 1 species
GGCGCGUAGGCGGUCUAUUAAGUGUGGUGUGAAAUCUCCAGAGCUCAACUCGGAAACUGCACCGCAUACUGGUAGACUAGAGGAAGGUAGAGGUAGAUAGAAUUCCUGGUGUAACGGUGACAUGUGUAGAUAUCAGGAGGAAUACCGAUGGCGAAGGCAGUCAACUGGGCUUUUCCUGACGCUGAGGCGCGAAAGCGUGGGUAGCAAACAGAAUUAGAUACUCUGGUAGUCCACGCCCUAAACGAUGGAUGCUAGGCGUAAGGGGUAUCGACCCCCUUUGUGCCGUAGCUAACGCAUUAAGCAUCCCGCCUGGGGAGUACGGCCGCAAGGUUGAAACUCAAAUGAAUUGACGGGACCCCGCACAAGCGGUGGAGCAUGUGGAUUAAUUCGAUACUAACCGAAGAACCUUACCUGGGUUUGACAUCGCGGGUAAUCCUAUGAAAGUAGGACCCUGACUCACAAGGUCGGCCCAAAGACACCUGUUGCAUGGCUGUCGUCAGCUCGUGCCGUGAGGUGUUUGGUUAAGUCCAGCAACGAGCGCAACCCUCGUCUUAUGUUGCCAGCGGGUAAUGCCGGGAACUCAUGAGAGACUGCCUGUGUAAGCAGGAGGAAGGUGAGGAUGACGUCAAGUCGGCAUGGCGGUUACACCCAGGGCUUCACACAUGCUACAAUGGGCGCAACAAAGGGCAGCAAUACCGCGAGGUGGAGCUAAUCCCAAAAAUACGUCCUCAGUUCAGAUUGUAGUCUGCAACUCGACUGCAUGAAGGCGGAAUCGCUAGUAAACGCAGGUCAGCUAUACUGCGUUGAAUACGUUCCCGGGGUUUGUACACACUGCCCGUCAAGUGAUCCGAGUCGUUUCUACCCGAAGUCCGUGGCCCAACCGUAAGGAGGGAGCGGCCGAAGGUGGAGGGGGUAAGGAGCACUAAGUCGUAACAAGGUACCCGUACCGGAAGGUGUGGGUGGAUCACCUCCUAA